rnacentral:rRNA from 1 species
GAAGAUGUAACGGGGCUAAACCAUGCACCGAAGCUGCGGCAGCGACGCUGAUGCGUUGUUGGGUAGGGGAGCGUUCUGUAAGCCUGCGAAGGUGUGCUGUGAGGCAUGCUGGAGGCAUCAGAAGUGCGAAUGCUGACAUAAGUAACGAUAAAGCGGGUGAAAAGCCCGCUCGCCGGAAGACCAAGGGUUCCUGUCCAACGUUAAUCGGGGCAGGGUGAGUCGACCCCUAAGGCGAGGCCGAAAGGCGUAGUCGAUGGGAAACAGGUUAAUAUUCCUGUACUUGGUGUUACUGCGAAGGGGGGACGGAGAAGGCUAUGUUGGCCGGGCGACGGUUGUCCCGGUUUAAGCGUGUAGGCUGGUUUUC